rnacentral:rRNA from 1 species
UACGUAGGGUGCAAGCGUUGUCCGGAAUUAUUGGGCGUAAAGAGCUCGUAGGCGGUUCGUCGCGUCGGCUGUGAAAUCCCGAGGCUCAACCUCGGGUCUGCAGUCGAUACGGGCGGACUGGAGUUCGGCAGGGGAGACUGGAAUUCCUGGUGUAGCGGUGAAAUGCGCAGAUAUCAGGAGGAACACCGGUGGCGAAGGCGGUUCUCUGGGCCUUACCUGACGCUGAGGAGCGAAAGCAUGGGGAGCAAACAGG